rnacentral:lncRNA from 1 species
AAAAUACUAAACUUAGAGGAAAAUCAAUUCGGAAAGUCCAUAAUCACAUGGCAAAAUCAAAUAACAAAACGUAUCAAAAACGAAUGGACAAGAACUGUCAUAUUCCUGACUUGGUACAGGCAUUUUCAAAUGUAGAAAAUGGUGGAUUAAACCUGGUUCUAUAUCGCUAACCCUCUCACUUUAAUGACAGUCUCAUCAAAUUCCGUUAUAUUUACAUUGAUGCGUUAAAUAAAUAGACACAAAAAAUAAAAUAGUCAAACUAUGGGUACAUCAGUCAUCAUCGUAUAACAAUUUUAAAAGGAACAA